AGCGAACGCUGGCGGCAUGCCUAACACAUGCAAGUCGCACGGGGGGGCUUCGGCCUCCCAGUGGCGGACGGGUGAGGAACGCGUAGGGACCUGUCGAGGGGUGGGGGAUAACCGCGGGAAACUGCGGCUAAUACCGCAUGACGCCGCGGCGUGACAGCCGGGGCCAAAGGCGAAAGCCGCCCGCCGAGGGGCCUGCGUCCGAUUAGCUGGUUGGCGGGGUAGCGGCCCACCAAGGCGUCGAUCGGUAGCUGGUCUGAGAGGGUGAUCAGCCACACCGGGACUGAGACACGGCCCGGACUCCUACGGGAGGCAGCAGUGGGGAAUAUUGGACAAUGGGCGCAAGCCUGAUCCAGCAAUGCCGCGUGGGUGAAGAAGGUCGUCGGAUUGUAAAGCCCUUUCGGCGGGGACGAUGGUGACGGUACCCGCAGAAGAAGCCCCGGCUAACUUCGUG
rnacentral:rRNA from 1 species